AAAAAGGUUAGAGCAGGAGCUUGGAGAAGCAAAAUCAGCUGUUGAGGAGAAAAGACUUGUCUAUGAAAGCUGUCUGGCCAAAGUGUCAUGUCUUGAAAAGUCAAUUCAUGAUCAUGCUGGUAAUAGGGCGAGCAGACUGAAAGAUCUAGAAAAAAAGGUUAAAACGAUAAAAAAUCAGAUGCAGUGUAAUAGGGCAAGCAGACUGAAAGAUCUAGAAAAAAAGGUUAAAACGAUAAAAAAUCAGAUGCAGUCUGCACUGAAGGACCUAAAGG
rnacentral:lncRNA from 1 species